rnacentral:piRNA from 1 species
UAGAAAGAGCGCCCAGACAACUUUAUCACU